GUCAUACAACUUGCAUCGCCCUGAUCUGGAUUAUUUUCUACAUUAAUCGAUCAAGUCCAAGGUGAUGCCUUUAAAUGUCUUGUUUUGUCAAUCUAAAACCCAAAGAUAUUCAGUUUUAGAUGAUAUACAGAUGCUGAAAACAGAAUUUUCUGCAAUUUUUGCAUGAAAAAUAACUUCAAUGAAUAUGGCUGUGCUUUUUUUCAUUGUUUUCUACAGGCACACGCUGACCUCGUCAAAGUCUCCUCGGACUAUGUGGACGUCCCCAGCGAGGGUCUUCAGGUAGUCAUAGCUCUCCUUGGUGCAGAGGUUGCCCGUGCAGAGGAUGUGCUGGAUCUUCCCCGGAACCAACA